rnacentral:rRNA from 1 species
AGAGUUUGAUCAUGGCUCAGGACGAACGCUGGCGGCGUGCUUAACACAUGCAAGUCGAGCGGAAAGGCCCUUCGGGGUACUCGAGCGGCGAACGGGUGAGUAACACGUGAGCAACCUGCCCUUGGCUCUGGGAUAGCCUCCGGAAACGGGGAUUAAUACCGGACAUGACCUUUUCCUGCAUGGGAUUGGGUGGAAAGUUU